ACGGGGAGUACGUCGGCUUUCCUUCGGGGCAGGGAGACAGGUGGUGCAUGGUUGUCGUCAGCUCGUGUCGUGAGAUGUUGGGUUAAGUCCCGCAACGAGCGCAACCCUUAUCCUUAGUAGCCAGCAGGAGGCUGGGCACUCUAGGGAGACUGCCAGGGAUAACCUGGAGGAAGGUGGGGAUGACGUCAAAUCAUCAUGCCCCUUAUGAUUUGGGCUACACACGUGCUACAAUGGCGUAAACAAAGGGAAGCAAGUCCGUAAGGAGGAGCAAAUCCCAAAAAUAACGUCCCAGUUCGGACUGUGGUCUGCAACCCGACUACACGAAGCUGGAAUCGCUAGUAAUCGCGAAUCAGAAUGUCGCGGUGAAUACGUUCCCGGGCCUUGUACACC
rnacentral:rRNA from 1 species